rnacentral:rRNA from 1 species
AGGAUUCGUCCAAGUGAAGCAGAGGACAGUGGCGGACGGGUGAGUAACGCGUGAGGAACCUGCCUUUCAGAGGGGGACAACAGUUGGAAACGACUGCUAAUACCGCAUAAGCGCACAGGGUCGCAUGACCUGGUGUGAAAAACUCCGGUGGUAUGAGAUGGACCCGCGUCUGAUUAGCCAGUUGGUGGGGUAACGGCCUACCAAGUCUACGAUCAGUAGCCGGACUGAGAGGUUGAACGGCCACAUUGGGACUGAGAUACGGCCCAGACUCC